UACGGAGGAUGCAAGCGUUAUCCGGAAUGAUUGGGCGUAAAGCGUCCGCAGGUGGCUGUGUAAGUCUGCUGUCAAAGAGCGAAGCUCAACUUCGUAAAGGCAGUGGAAACUACACGGCUAAAGUGCGUUCGGGGCAGAGGGAAUUCCUGGUGUAGCGGUGAAAUGCGUAGAGAUCAGGAAGAACACCGGUGGCGAAGGCGCUCUGCUAGGCCGCAACUGACACUGAGGGACGAAAGCUAGGGGAGCGAAUGGG
rnacentral:rRNA from 1 species